UAUCCACUAAAUAUCCCACAUCGCUUAGCAACAAAAUAAAGUAACCUUUUAUAUAGCUGAAGCAGCUCCCACGGGUUGUCCCUUCGGGGACAUCCGAUAAAAUUGGAACGAUACAGAGAAGAUUAGCAUGGCCCCUGCGCAAGGAUGACACGCACAAAUCGAGAAAUGGUCCAAAUUUUUUUUUAAAAUUUUUGGGUGUUUUUAGUUUCUGUUCUCUGUUUUCUUUGGUUUUCUUUAGUUUUUCUGGGUUUUUUUUUUAAAAUUCAUGUUUUCUUUGCAUUUUCCGAUUUUUCCUGGGUUUUUUACAACUGCGAUAGCUGGUAAAUGUAGUAAAUGUUAUUUUUCUGAUAUUGAGCAUAAGCCCAUGGCCGUUGUUUUGAGCCCAUACAUUGGGAUAGUCAGAGUGAGGUAGGCUGGUUCAUGAUUUAGUUGGUAUCCAACUAAAUAUCCCACAUCGCUCAGCGAUACAAUAACUCAACCUUUUAUAUAGCUGAAGCAGCUCCCAGGGGUCGUACCUUCGGGGACAUCCGAUAAAAUUGGAACGAUACAGAGAAGAUUAGCAUGGCCCCUGCGCAAGGAUGACACGCACAAAUCGAGAAAUGGCUAUGUGCUACUCUAUUACCAUGCCUGUGGAUGAAUGCAGACUCAAAUAAGGGCAUCAAUGCUCAUGUCUCACUUAUAUAGAUGUCAACAGAGGACAGGUCCAUAGUGUUGCUCGGAAGCCUGGAAAUGAUGCCAGGUGAAUCACUUUUGAUAAUAACAAUUUGAAGCCUGGAAAUGAUUGUCAGUUUCUCACUUUGAAUCCAUAAAGGUUGUCCCUUCAAAGAAAAUCUUAGUGGGAAACAUGACCUAAUUUGCUUCAGCCUUUAGUUGUUGUUUUCUAUCAUACAGAGGCCUUGCUCGGUGCGACAUGAGCUAAAUUUUGCAGGUUUCUGUAUCUGUUUACUUUUGUAUUUGUAUGCUUAGCUUGGUGCUCGACUUCAUCGAUUUUACUCGCUUGAUAUUGCAAAUUAGAAUGUUUUUACAGGCUGGGUCUAUUCUACUCUAUUAAGUAGUAAAUUCGAUACGAGAUGUCUUUUUUCGGUGUUUUCUGAACGAGCUUCUGUCCCCUUUUUUUUUUUUUUCUAUUUUUCUAACUCUGAUAUGUGGUGUAAUUGGGUUAAGAGAUCCUUUUACAAUUUAAUUAAAAGAUUUUACGUAGCUGGUUUAUGCUUGCCGUACAAGUAAGUAUGAACCUUUAUGAAUGUUGAAUAUUAUGGCUUCAUUUAUGGAUUGAAAUUAUCAUUUUUAUCUCACGUCUUUAUAUAUAUUUAGUCACAAAAUAUUCGUAGUCUAUCAGUGCUAAUUUUCUGGUACAUUUAUAAGAAUUGAGGAGCGAGUUUUAAUAGGAAGGCACAAAGAUUAAAGGUCAAGUUGACAACUUGACAUGCUUCCAUAGAGGGAAUCUUUGCAACGCCUGAAAGAGAAUAUUCAUACAGUCACGCCUGAAAGAGCAUAUUAAUACAGUCAUCUAAACUCUGAUGGUGUGGUUCGGGAAAUCAGUCGUCGUACUAAAUCUUUUAUUUCGAAGCUGCUUGGUCGGUGCAUGUACAAGCAGGGUUGGCACCUUCGAAGGUUGAAGUCUUUGUGUGGCAAUGAGUUGGCUAGACAUGGGAUAUGCUUUUCGGAACACUGGUGCUAUGUGGGAGACCCCAUGUCGUUCGUGGUUCUUGAUGUGGCCAGAUGCUUGCCUUUCGCGGCUGAGUGUAACAGAGGAGUUUGGAAUAUGAUGUUACUUGCAAUUGUUUUGGUCCAUGCGGCUUUACAGGAACAACAUUAGUUUUAGUGGUGAAAUUGUGGACAGUUCUGCAAUUGUUUUAAUGAAUGUUCAAAACUCAGACUUGCCUGCUGGAUUUAUAUGCCAAAUGUGGUGAUGAAAAACAAUAUUGAGUGAGCUUUGUUAUCUAUUUAGAGUUUUGACCUGGUCUGACUAUGCAUUUUAUUGGGGUUGCCAAA